rnacentral:misc_RNA from 1 species
AAGUCGUAACAAGGUUUCCGUAGGUGAACCUGCGGAAGGAUCAUUAACACGUAUCCACGUAUCAACCAACUGUGCACUGUUUUCACCCUCCCUGCCGCCGCCAUGAAUGGGCUCUAUUGAGGAUGCGAGAGUAUGAAUGGGAGCAGUCGCUUCGGCGAUCGCUCGAUCUCGCUCCUUCACUAGUCUCCUCGGAGGCUGACCAUUGUAGGCGUGCGCGUCAGGACCACUGUCUCUGCGGCACUCGCACCGUUCAUGCGAGAGCCACAGAGGCGACUCAUAUUAAACACCUAAUCACCCCCUUUUUGCUAGUUGACUUUUUUAUGUUGUCGUUCACAUGCGCCGCAAGGCAGUGUGACUGCACACGUUUCUUAAUUGAACGAAAAUGUACAACUCUUAGCAAUGGAUAUCUUGGUUCUC